GGGUCUCACCCCUCUACCAUUCCUUGCAUGGAGAGGGAUGCAUUUUCUGUCUCUUUUUUAAUUAUUUAGAGCUGAUACGUCAAAAUCUGACAAGUGUCACACUCUCAUUGCAUGCCACAUGGCUUUGGUGACAUGUUGACAAUGCUACGAUUGUUAGUCUAUAUAACGAAAUAUGAUGGAAGAAUGUAAUUGUUAAAUUUUAUGAACUCAUAAAGUGAUAAAAUUGAAAACCUAGAGACUAUUUUAAUUUUUGUGAAAAAAUAUGUUUAACCCUAUACUUAACAUGUUUUUGUAUGUGCAUGAUAAACUGUCAAAAUUGGCACAUGUACCCUCUAACUAUAUGUUAAUUUUGGUAGUUUAUAGGGCAAAUUGCAAAAUGCAUAUUAGUUAAGAGGAUGGAAAGUGUAUUUUCCUUUAUUAUUUGAUUCUAUUUUCUUCUCUCUCUCUCUCUCUCUCUCUCUGGUUUCCUUUCCAUAUGUCCCUUCUCUACCACUCCCUUCAUUCCAGAAAACUCCUUUUUUGUGCAUAGGACUGAACACUACUCGUGAGAUAUUUAUUCUUUGGACAUUUUCCUAAGAAUCACCUCUCUAGUUUGCCGUAGACUCCAAACAGGGCCUUUUAAACUUUGCUUUAAAGGUUGAUUGAGCAUAUUCAUGAGGAGGUCCCAUCCCAAAACAUCUUUUAUUUGUCGAUUGCAUUAUUUUUUACGGGAGACUAUUAUGAGGGAAAGUGGCAUGUUAAAGAUGCAGGAUAAUUUAUGAUCAAGAGGUAAAUAGAUAUUGGGUUUAGUCUCUGACCAUUUGAAUCAGGAGGAUUGAUUGCCUGAAAUUAUGGUGGAGAAUAGGUAUUCCAAGGAGUUGUGCCACCUAUUGCAUCUCUUUUAGAACUAAUGUGAUAAGGUCAUAUUAACUAUAAGGCCCAGCAUGCUUUUUAGUUCCCAGGUUUUGACUGCCACAUUACAUGUUUCAUAGAAUGAGAGUUAAAUAGUAUUGCGCAUGUGGUAUUGCAGAAAAGAAGUGAAAUUGUAAUAAAAGAAGACAGUAAAGGAGAUUUUUCGAAAGAAGAAAAAAGAUUAAGGUUGGGUUUGGAUAGUGAAAAGUGUUGGUGUUGUGAAUAGUAGUAAAAAAAUAAUAAAAAAGUAAUAAUUAAAUAUUGAAUGGUAGUAAAAAGUAAUGAAUAGUAGUAAAAAAUAGGUGAAAAAUAAUAAUAAAGUAAUGAUUAGUAGUGGAGUAUGUUGAGAAUACCUGAAGUAUUUUCAGUACCCAAACACAGCAGAGUGGUUAGUGAAGGGAGUUUAAUGGUGAAUAAUCUUGUCUGUAUUGGUGCUUACACACACACACACAUAGUGUGGGAGCGUUCUCAGUAUACUGACUGUUGGGGCCAUGUUUAUAAAUAUUAAAUGCAACUGAAAUGAUGUGAAGCUAAGGAGAAAUUGAAUCGCAAAAUUGUGCAACUUCUAGGUAAUUGAUCAUAUAGUUACAUUGCCAUUAGUGCCUAAGUUGUUUACUUUUAGGGAAGAAAAUAAAAAUCUGAAGUUUUAUUGAGAGCUGCUGACUUAAUACCUGGGCUGAAUUGCCUUAGACAAGCCUAAACUCUCGAGGUUAAAAUUUGAAUUGAAGCCUAUAGCCUCCUAAGCAAAAUCUUUAUUUAAACUAACGUGAAAUGAGUUCUCGAUGAACUCAAUGUUGAUAAAAAUUGAAAAGAGACAGCCUUGGGUUAAUGUAUCUUCAGAUUUUCUCCUGGCGCUGUGCGGGCUUUCACAGUUGGUGUAUCUGCUUGGCAUUGCCUGCAAGGGGAUAGAAAUGACUGGAAUAGCUUCAGGCCAAACGAUGAGCUUGCUGCAGUGCACUCUUUCUUUGCCUUGUUUCUCACCUUGUGAUUUGGUUUAUCAGAGAUGCUCAUGCCACCCUCUCUGUCAUCUGAUCUCUGGCUGCUGCGAUUAGUUGCUGGUAACAGGCCUUGGGAAGACGGAGUAGUGGUCAUCCGAGAUUCGUUGUGACCAUUGGAAUCAACAGGAGGUGAUUUUGAUUGCUGAUCUUGAAUACUGACGAAGCCAGCAAAGGAGAGUGAGUCAGAUGAACCAUUGUCUGCAGCAACAUCCACAGAUAUCUUGUUUUGAAGGUGGGUUGCCAUUGAUUAUAUGACACACCUUGGUUUGCUGGGAUUAGUGCUUAUUUAGAGAACACUGGAUUGGGUCUGUUUGGAUUUACCUUUUUGUUUGGUCCUGAUCUUAUUGCCGCCACCUGCCGGUAGGUGUGGGAGAUGCGGAUUGCUGAAGUUUAGGAAUCAGGAUAAAAGCGAAACGCAUACAUUUGCUUAAAACUACAACAGUGAGUACUAAUGAUUUUAACUAUGGGAAAUUUGGAAGUUCAAAGUAGAUAAGAUUCCGAUUGUCUUGUCCUCUGGUCUUUUUACUCCAAGCAUCUUGAAUUUCGUUUUUCACUUUGGUGGAAAUACCAAAGAAUUGUUAUAGUUUUAUGCAUCGUUCUCAAACUUGAUGGAUCCCCUGCCUGCUAAUGCUGAAAACGACCCCAAGAAAGCUUAUUAGUAUGUUUCAAUACGUACUUCCAAGGAUGGCUCAAGUUGCUGAUGCGUACGAGGAUAACAUGGUUAGUCACACUUGGAAGUAAGGAAUGGUGGAAAGAUCUUAGUGGAGGAUUGGGGUUCGAUUCCACUUAUUCGGCCAUGCCAUGGGCAUAGGGAACAUUACUAUGAUGUAUUGGUGGAGAUUCCUAGGUAAGUGUCUUCUGUUAAAAAUUGUGGCAAUGAUAACGAUAUCCAUCGUUAUCAACGGACUGCAAUCGCGUUUGGGAUAGAGAGGGGGGCUGGGCUUUAGCCUGCAAAAUCUAUACACUGGCAGCCGGAUGAUCAAAACUUUCAAGCUUUUGGGCUGUGACCAUUUCAUAUGGUUGAAAUCUGUAACGUUGAAAUUUGGCUAGGCUACUUGUUUAAUUCCUAAGUGCUGUUUUAUUUUGAUUGAUA